UGGGGAGAAAGUACCGCCAAUCGACACUGCAGCCAAUCCGGUGAAGAGAGCUAGGAAAGAAACAAGAGACGAUGUGCAGAAACAGAAACCAUCGCCUGUGAGCCUUGCCACCUCCAAGGACAGAGACCAGAAAGCUGAACUCGAGAGCAAGUUGGCCACCCCUGUUAGGAAAAGUGACGAAAGCAGGAACACCCAACCAGAAGAUCAGAAGAAGCCAGGAGGGGACAGAAAUUAUGCAGCAGCCGCGAAAAACAAAAACCAGCAGGCUGCUGCACUGGAGGCUACAAAGAGCACACAUGAUCCGGGGGACAGAGUCACGGUGUGCUUCCA
rnacentral:lncRNA from 1 species